AAUACUGUUGACAUUGUAGGACUGAUUGGUUGGGAGGAGUUGUUUCAUCAUUAGCUAAGGAAGAAUGGAAAGAAGGAAGAACAGUGCACACUGCUGAAGUUUCUGGGGAGGUCUGUUUCAUACAGCAGGAGGCACUAAGGGGACCAGAAGUCAUUUGGAUCUGAAGCAGGAGCAGAAGGAAAACUAGAAUUCAUCAGGAGGACUCCUCAGCCUUUUGUGUGAACAAGCUACAGGGUCUGACGUGGCUAAUGGCUGAUCGAGUGCUUGUGAUCGGCAGUGGAGGGAGAGAGCAUGCAUUGGCCUGGAAGCUGGCCCAGUCCCCACAUGUAAAACAAGUGUUUGUUGCUCCUGGAAAUGCAGGGACAGCCAACAGUGGAAAAAUUUCAAAUUCAGCUGUUUUAGUGAGCAAUCACACUAUUGUUACCCAGUUCUGCAAAGAUCAUAACAUUGGACUUGUAGUAGUUGGAC